UCCCGGUUGGCCCGGGCAGUCUCGCCUGAAAUUGCAACAGACAAUAAGGGUUGCGCUCGUUGCGGGACUUAACCCAACAUCUCACGACACGAGCUGACGACGGCCAUGCAACACCUGUCACUGGGCUCCUUGCGGCACCCCCUCGUUUCUGAGGGGUUCCCAGGAUGUCAAGCCUUGGUAAGGUUCUUCGCGUAGCAUCGAAUUAAACCACAUGCUCCACCGCUUGUGCGGGUCCCCGUCAAUUCCUUUGAGUUUUAAGCUUGCGCUCGUACUCCCCAGGCGGGAUGCUUAACGCGUUAGCUUCGCAGCCCAAGGGGUCGAUACCUCGAACUACUAGCAUCCAUCGUUUACGGCGUGGACUAC
rnacentral:misc_RNA from 1 species